rnacentral:rRNA from 1 species
UACGUAGGGUCCGAGCGUUGUCCGGAAUUACUGGGCGUAAAGAGCUCGUAGGCGGUUUGUCGCGUCUGCCGUGAAAGUCCGGGGCUCAACUCCGGAUCUGCGGUGGGUACGGGCAGACUAGAGUGAUGUAGGGGAGACUGGAAUUCCUGGUGUAGCGGUGGAAUGCGCAGAUAUCAGGAGGAACACCAAUAGCGAAGGCAGCUCGCUGGGACGGUACUGACGCUAAGGCGCGAAAGCGUGGGGAGCGAACAGG